CAGUUUCCGAUCAAUUCAGACCAGUAUCAAUUACGUCACUGACCACAUUUCCUGUACAGAAUUAUAAAUACAGAGUCGUAGACGGUUUCGAUCUCAAACACUCAAUAGCCAAAGCUAGCCAAAGGUACCCAAAAGUCACCAAAGAUAUCAUCAUACAACACACUACAGUCUUUCAACUUAUUAUAACCCAAAGACAACAUGGUCAAAACGCAAGCUAUUCUUGUACUCGUGUGCGUUGCCAUGACAUAUGGCGCUAACUAUGGAAAUGGCUUCAACUACGGAAAUAACUAUCAAUACACCGGAAGUUACGUCGGUUCUCACAACACUGGAACAUUUAACAGAAAUGCCAACAGUUAUAGUAACUAUGGUGGAUAUAAUAGAUAUACACCAGGUGGAUAUAGCCAAGGAUAUAAUAAAUACGCAUCAGGUGUUUAUAACCAAAUGAUAGUACCACACCCUUAUCCAAUUCCGGUUCCGGUUGCAUCUCACGCAGGGAAUAAUGGGAAUAGAGUUCUUGUCGUGAGAGAUCAAGGCGUUCAAAACAACGGUUUUCUUGGUUUUGGAGGCAAUGGCAUAUUCGGUUUUGUAGUGACUAUCCUGAUCUUACAGUACAUUAUGCAACUACUAACCAACAAUCAGAACCAAGCACAAGGAUAAAAAAAA